UCAGGUGAAGCUACUUUCAAAUUGCCAAGAGGGCCACUCAUAUCAUCGCCGAGAGGGCCAAUUCAUAUCAUUGCCGAGAAAGCCAUUUCAUAUCAUUGCCAAGAGGGCCACUUCAUAGCAUUACCGAGAGGUCCAUUCCAUAUCAUUGCCGAGAGGGCUAUUCAUAUUAUUUGUCGAGAGGGUUAUUUUAUAUCUGUUGACAUGUAAGACAUAAAUGCUGGCAUCGAGGA
rnacentral:lncRNA from 1 species